AAUGGCACCCUAUUCCCUUUAUAGUGCACUUCUUUUGACCAUGGUCCAUAGUAGUGCACUAUUAAGAGAAUAGGGUGCCUAUU
rfam:Salmo salar isolate Sally breed double haploid chromosome ssa03, whole genome shotgun sequence.